rnacentral:rRNA from 1 species
UACGAAGGGGGCUAGCGUUGUUCGGAAUUACUGGGCGUAAAGAGCGUGUAGGCGGCCAGGUAGGUCUGCUGUGAAAACUCGAGGCUCAACCUCGAGACGUCGGCGGAAACCAUCUGGCUAGAGUCCGGAAGAGGAGAGUGGAAUUCCUGGUGUAGCGGUGAAAUGCGCAGAUAUCAGGAAGAACACCAGUGGCGAAGGCGGCUCACUGGACUGGUAUUGACGCUGGAGGUGACGAAAGCGUGGGGAGCAAACAGG